rnacentral:misc_RNA from 1 species
UCCGGUUUGGCACCGGCAGUCUCCAAUGAGUCCCCGGCAUUACCCGCUGGCAACAUUGGACAGGGGUUGCGCUCGUUGCGCCACUUAAGGCAACACCUCACGGCACGAGCUGACGACAGCCAUGCACCACCUGUGCACCGGCCCCGUAGGGCUGCCGUAUUUCUACGACAUUCCAGUGCAUGUCAAGCCUUGGUAAGGUUCUUCGCGUUGCGUCGAGUUAAACCACAUGCUCCGCUGCUUGUGCGGGCCCCCGUCAAUUCCUUUGAGUUUCAGUCUUGCGACCGUACUCCCCAGGCGGAAUGCUUAAAGCGUUAGCGACGGCACCCGGGGACUUUAUAACCCCAGACACCAAGCAUUCAUCGUUUAAGGCUAGGACUAC